UGCUGGGAUUACAGGUGUGAGCCACCAUGCCUGGCCAGAAGUGACCUCUUUUGAAAAACCCUUUCUGAGUCCUCAGCCUGGGUUAGGUACCCUUCUCCUUUGCUACCAACCUCAUAGUCCUUAUCACUUUGUACUGUGUUAGCUUAUGUUUCUAUUUACAGACUCCCUAAGACAAUGUCUGUGUCUUAACUUUGUAUCCCCAGGGCUGCAGUGUACAGUUGUAUAGGUUAUGCACUGUGAGAGGAUGCCUGGCUAAGGAAAUAAGCAGUGGAUGAAGGCCAUUAGUCAACUGUGCACCUGGUACAGGCCUGUAUCCAGACUGUUUUCUAAUUUGCACAAAGGUGCUUGUGUGACACCAGUGGGCCCUGUGUAUCCCCUGUGCUUGUUAUAGAGUUGGCACACAGUAUUACAAUAGGUGCUCAUUAAAUGUUGAGUAAAGAUGGACGGAUGUUCUAGGCAAAGGUACCAGGGGUAGAGAUGGGGGGAAAUCUGGCCUAAUAGGGUGGUAUUGGAUACUCAGUAUUGACUUAGGGUGGUUGCAGCUAGUUUGUAGAGGGUCCGUUAUGUUGGGCUGAGGGACUAACUCUUUAAUUCAGGAGGCAGUGAGGAACUUUGUGAAUUUUUGAUAGGACUGUGAUAUAGAAUUUCAAAAUAUUCAGGCUUGAAAAUGAGACUCAGAGAAGUAAAGUGACUUUUUCAAGGACACACAGAAAGUUAGAGGCAGGGCCCAGACUUGAAUUUGAUUUUCUUACUCCUAGCUCAGUACAGGUCUGGGGAACUGCACUCUGGGGAGCUGCACUCUGGGAUAGCUCAGAACUGAGGCUGAGCCCUCUAAGGCUCAAAACCAAAUCAUCCCAGCCUUGGUGACUCUAUCUCUUCCCUGACACAUGUUCCUGGACGUGUUGGGUAAAUGGAUGACAGCCAGGCAGAUGGGAGGUGAGGACAGUUAGGAGACCGCUGCAGUCCAUGGUUCAGCCUCAUUCAUGGUGCACCACUGGUUCUGUCCUCAGAAUAUUUACCGACUUGCAGGCAUGGCAAAUUGCCCGUGCCUUUCUCUUCUUCCCACAGGUGAACAUUCGAGUCUUUUCACUACGAGCUAUCUCUCUCCUUACAAAUCUCUUGGUUGCUCAUCUCUGGACCUGGGCUAGUUUCUUUAGAUUCUUUCUUUUCUUUCUUUCUUUCUUUCCUUCCUUCCUUCCUUCCUUCCUUCCUUCCUUCCUUCCUUCCUUCCUUCCUUCUUUCUUUUCUUUUCUUUUCUUUUCUUUUUUUUUUUUUUAAGCCAGAGUCUUGCCCUGUUGCCCAGCCUGGAGUGCAAUGGAGCGAUCUUGGCUCACUGCAACCUCCAACUCCCAGGUUCAAGAAAUU
rnacentral:lncRNA from 1 species